GGACCGUUAAGGUAGAAAUACACAACGACGAUUCGUUCUUCCUUCGAUGUGGAAUGAUAGUAAAAAAACUGAGAGAUCUUGAAGAUCCAACCAUGGGUCAGAACCAUCAAAGCGGGGAACAUCUAGCUUGAGAAAAUGGCAAUGAGAGGAAUGGUUAUUAGGUGAGGAAAAUAGGGGAGGAAAAGGAGGUGGAGAAGGGGGGCGGUUUUCAAAGACUAAGAGUAGAAGAUUCAUGUCAUCCAUUUUGGAGAUGAAAAGAAACAUGUUAUGAAGCAUCUCAUCCAUUUUUUCUAACUGAGUUUUACAAACAGAUUCACUCAUGGUGGAGAGAAAACAACAAGAGCACCAAAAAUGUUGAGUUAAGUGUGUACUCUCUGUAUUUAAGGAUAGAGAAACCUCCUAAAGAAAGAGAAGAGUAGGAAGAGAAAAUACAUUUUUUCAUCCCUUUCUCAUAACAGACUAACAAUCAUAUAUACAAUCAACCCUUCUAAUAAUAUUCCCUAAUGAAUAAUAAAUAUGCAGUACACAACGUAAAAAGUUCUAAAACUCUGCUAACUCAUUAAUUAAUAGUGGAUAAAAUUAUCUCUUGUGACUCACAAGUUUCGGCCUCUCC
rnacentral:lncRNA from 1 species